rnacentral:rRNA from 1 species
UGGGGAAUAUUGCACAAUGGGGGAAACCCUGAUGCAGCCAUGCCGCGUGUGUGAAGAAGGCCUUCGGGUUGUAAAGCACUUUCAGCGAGGAGGAAGGGUUAGUAGUUAAUACCUGCUAGCUUUGACGUUACUCGCAGAAGAAGCACCGGCUAACUCCGUGCCAGCAGCCGCGGUAAUACGGAGGGUGCGAGCGUUAAUCGGAAUUACUGGGCGUAAAGCGUACGCAGGCGGUCAUUUAAGUCAGAUGUGAAAGCCCCGGGCUCAACCUGGGAACUGCAUUUGAAACUGGAUGACUAGAGUGCGACAGAGGGUGGUAGAAUUUCAGGUGUAGCGGUGAAAUGCGUAGAGAUCUGAAGGAAUACCGAUGGCGAAGGCAGCCACCUGGGUCGACACUGACGCUCAUGUACGAAAGCGUGGGUAGCAAACAGGAUUAGAUACCCCCGUAGUCC